GGCAAAAUGCAUUAUAUAUAUAUAUAUAUAUUGUCUUCAAAAUAGCGCUUACUGAAUAUUAGGGUAACAUUUUCCUCCAUGUUAGCAAAUCGAAAAAAAGCAGAGGCCCGGAAGAGUGGAGGGGGUCCACCUCUGCAGCCCUCACAGAGGCUGAGGAGAUGGCCCUCAGACAACAGAGUAUGCGUCCUGUGGCUGAGGGCAUCCCUGGGGGGAGCUCCUCUGAUCCCCCCCCCACCCCCCAGGAUAGAAGUGCCUUUAUAAGAGUUACUGAUGGCGUCAUCGCCCUACUUGAACCAGAUGCCCUCACCAACCUCCAUGCAAUUGUAACAAUUCAAAAUAUGCAAAAGGAUGCUUUGGAGAUCCACAUUUUGGAACAUAAGUUAAAGGUGAGUGAGGUGCAAACUGGGAUACUGUUCCCUGCUCUAAAAACAUACCCGAUAUGAAUGACUUUUUUUGUGCUUUCAGGAAACAAAGAAAUCCUCAUAAAAAGUAGAUUGUCUUUAUUAGAACACGGGCUGUGGUGGGACAAGUUAUUUUGUUGAACAGUUUACUCAAAGGGUUUUACUUCAGUGAACAAUGCAGACGAUUAUGCUGAGCAUGUGCAUGUAGAGAAGAAGAGACACUAUCUGGUUAAAAGCAGUAGGCCUACCAGGGUCCUUUCUGCCUUGCAUUCUUAAAAUUAGUUUCUUGACUUGCAGCAGUUAUAGGUCCGUGGUUAGUCAGCUACUCUGAUCAUGGGAAAGCCACAACGUUAAAGUGACUGUAGUACAGAGCGGGUGGGAUGCACGGGGCGGAUCAUUCUGCACAUGCGUUAAUUGCGUAAAAAAACCCAACUUAAACUUAAAGCAUGCCCCCGGUGCGUUUGACAGUUAACAUGGGGACUGAGAAGGUGGUCUAAAUAAAUGAUA